rnacentral:misc_RNA from 1 species
GCUAGGUUCAUUAUGUUACAGGCUAACUCGGAAUGAACAAUAAUCAUUUAUGUUCUACAUCAAACCAGAAAUAAACAUAAGCUCGAGAACAGAUGACUCGGACUCGCUGCAAGGCCAGCUCCCCACUUGUAACAACAGCCUUGGCACCCCCUUCUAUCCGAGUUUGAGAAACAGAAACACCAUCACAGUUUGUCUUCACAGAGGAGGAGAAAAUCUCAUUCCCCCCAGCUGUAGUCGGUAUGAGAGAUAGUCCAAAGGGUUUGACUCACAUUGAAGGAUGCAGCCAUCUAUGGUUAGCCUUCCACUUCUAUGAAGCAAGCAACAACCAAGCUCUGCCUUCACUGUUAGGUUCGUCAAUUUGCAAGUGGACAAGAACUCUAAUGCACUGUCUGAACCUCGAGAACAUAGGAGUGUUGUUUCAUCGGGAAGCUCGCCUCCACCAAUCAGGCAAAGUGGUUUAUUUAUUUGAAUAUUAGAGACAUGAUGACUCCCUCCCGCAGAGAUAAGAAUGGUGUCACCAGGUCUAGCAGCAGAGACAGCCAUCUCGAUGGUGGGGAAAACACCAGGUUCCGAUAAAUCUUUGACAGAUCGGUCUACUCGCAGCCACAAGCGAGGGUGACAUGCCAAGAAAUGCCAUCUGUGGCAUACGAGGGCGGUGUUAUACCGAUCUGGAAUUGGAGAUAAGAAGCUGAAGAUGUGCAUAAGGCAACCAUCAUCAAGAUUGUUUAUGAGAGAAAAACACGAAGAAGAUGCAGACUUCUUUAUAUGCUUCCACUUUCGCUUAUCUUCCUCCUCCAUAGUCUUCAGCGCCCUCUGUAAAACUAGUGCUCUUUACGAUACUUCACCAAUUUAC